ACACGGAUAUCAUGGUACCGACUGCAGACAGUUGAAAUUGUUAUGCCCGGACGUCGUGACAAAUUAAUCGUCGACGCCGCCAAAUCGACCGAGCAAGAGAAACAGAAAAAAAGAGAGAGAGGACCGAAUUGAUUUUUCGUACUAGCCAGAGGCUAGCUGGCUCGUUAAACUCGCGCGCCACGAUUCCUGACCCACAGAUCGAUAUUCGAGUCGAUGCAGUAAGGUUCAGCAAGAGGGAAUAUCAAAGACGAGAAAACGAUUCGAACAACUCUAUGGUAAAGUUGUUCGAGUCGGCAUAAAGAACUGCUACAAAAGUCAUCGCAAUAAUAAAAAUCAAUAUUCGUGGUAAAGCCUGUACCUUUCUUCUCUUCUAAUGAAUACGAUUUAACUAUCGAAGUUGCCUUCUUGUCGUUGCAAGCCCUUCGGUUUGAUACGAUAGAAUUAUCUUAUUGAUAAAAGGAUACGCAACAAGAUUUUAUCUAAAAUAGACGAAAACGAAGAAUCGUGGAAUCGCGGAUUCUUAAGGAAACAAACCUCGUUGGACGCGUAGAAAACCCGAUAGUCCUGAAAUUUAACCGAUCUCCUCUGUGUUCGGAUUCUUCGAAUUUGCAAACCGAAUUUCCAAUACCAUGGAACUUGCUCUUGUUCGUAGAAUCACUAGGAACAAGAAUAUACCGAGAACCGCUGCUAAAGGUAUGUGAAAAAGAAGAAUUUCAAAAUUGAUCUUUCGAAGAAACAAACUCUGUGGAGCAACGCUUUGUCAUCGUACCAACAAUUUGAUGUAAAGCAAUUGUCCGACCGUGGACGCGUAUGAACGGUAUAAAGAAACACUAUGAAAUAGAUGAAAAUGAGGAAUUUUAGAAUUAAUUUCGAAGAAACAAACCGUGCUGAACGUACAAAAGACAUCACUACUCUUACAAUUCACUGAUUCAUACAGCUCGGGAGAAACUCUGAUGUGUUUUUAAAUUUACGCACGUCAAGAUUCUAUUCGCGCGUCAAGUAGAAUCUUCCCUUCGUGGUCAGACGUUUCUGCCGGCGCACAGCGUGUCAUAAAGCAAUCACAAUCACUACGGAUCAGCCGAUAUCGAUCUGCUAUGUAUACUCGACGACGUAUUUUUUUCGUUCUAAUCGCUGACAAAUGCGUCGACAAGCUCUCGUUCACGUUACACGUACCAUCGGCUAACGGGACAACGAAUGGACGAAGUUUCACUGGUGUAGUAUUCUGCUGUCACGAGGCUUUGUUCUUGAUCGGUUAACCAUCCCUAUGGUUGCCACGAAACUUGGUAUCCCGGAUCGAAUACACACUCGCGAUCACUAAAUAAAAUUCUCGUGGGCUUAAUAAAUCCUCCAAACGAUAAAUUCUCCGAUCUGCCGAGCGAAGUAACGAAGACUAAUGGACGAACGAAAUUGUAACUCUCGAAGAUGGUGGACGAGGCGCUCGUAGCUCGAGCGUUCCCGCGAUUAGCCGGUGCCGCGAGGCGCACCUCGAGCGGCGUCUACUCGGAAUUCGAAGCGAGACACUCGGAAGCGACGGAGGCAGCCGCCACAACGGAAACGUGGAAAAAGGUCGAUCGAAAGGAGGCGAUUGAAAAAAAGAUAGGAAAAAGAUAUAGGGGAAUAAGAUGGAAACGACGGAGAAGAAUGAGAAACACACGGAGCUGAUGUCGAGAGGUGCACGAAAAGAAGAAUGGAAGGAGGGAAGAAGGAGGAAGCGUGGGACAAAACGGGACGAAGAAGAAGAGGACGGACGUCGUGGCUGGACCACCGGCCGGCUCGGGGCGUGCGCUCGUGUAGCACGUGGCCGCGAGACUGAAUAUCCCCUACCUUGGCCACCUUCGUCAGUCCGUUUGUCCGCCUCGUCCUUAUCUUACCUAGUCGACCGAGAAAGACUACCGCGGCCUUCUCUCGUUCUCUCUCCUCCCACCUUACGGCUGCACCUUCUCCUUCUCGAUCCUUUUGCUUCUCUUCUUCUUCUUCUUCCUCUUCCUUUGCCUGCUUCCAUAUAUCUUCGCAGUCUCUUCCUCCUCCUCUUUCUCUCCCUUUUUAUCCUUCCUUGUGUUCUUUACCCUUUUUCAUUUUUUCUUCUACCGCUUAUUCAGAUUCUGUGCAGUUGUUCCCUUCUCAUCUUAUAGUCUUUUUCUGCUCUUUGUCGUGUUUUGCGCUGCUCUCCUAAUUCUUCCUCUCCUCGUUUUUCCUUCCACGCUUCUUCGCUAAUCUUCGCAGUCCGUUUUCAUCGUUUGCCGUUAACGUUGCUGCUUCUCCUCCCGGUUCCGAUCUCGCGAACUCGUCGAUUUCUUCCAACGCAAAAUCCAUCUCCAACGCGCUACAGAGGAGGCUCGCGUUACAUGCGUGCGCGCAGUUUCGCCGAUUGGUUUAGUAGUUUUUCGCGCCGAUCUGACGGGAGUACGAGGUUUAAUUGAAAUGUUAUUAUACAGAGGAAAGGAAAUGGAGAUUAUACGGAGAUUUGGAAAUUUUCGUGUUUUUGGUUUUAGAGAUGUUUAGGUUUUGCCUUAGAGAUGAGAAGAAAUUAGGGAAAUUACGGAUCGAUCGACAAACUUUUAACCGAAAUAUUAGAAUAAAUAGUAUUACUAAUUGGACACGUUUUAAUUGAUUCUUAAUCUUAUACAGAAAACUAGGUGCAAAGGUAAGUGUUCAUAUAUUCCUUCCGAAUCACUCAUCGUUCACACGAAUUCUCUCUUAUAGCAUUCGUGUAAUUAUUAAUCGAAGCUCGUAAAACAAGAAAAGGAAGUAUAUAGUAUGAAACGUAACUGAAGCUAAAAAUUAUAAACUUUACAGGCGGUGAGAACGUUUGCUAAUCUCGUUUGUAUAGGAAAGUCGACGGUCUAUAAACCAACCGGACUACCUUUUCCCGGGGCUUCUCUAAGUAUCGAGAGAUAACCAUCUAUAUUUAAUGAGCCGUUCGUUCGACGACGUGAUUUCCCCGUGCUUUGAGCACGGAGCACGUGCGGAAAAGCGUGCUCGCCAUAAAACGCGCGCCGUUCUGCGUAACUAUAACAGCCAUUCCCCUCGUAAACGUAAUCGAAGAAAGUACCGUCGCGCCACCUUCUACGCGAUAUUUCGUUGAUUGCAAUGAUUUUUCUGAUUCUACGUGUAAAUCAUAACUUACAAAUACGAUCACGAUUAAAUUUUCUCGAAGGAAGGUUAAUUUAUAUAGCAUUCUGAUCAAGUAGUUUUUUAUUUUUAAAUUUAGUCUAGUAAAAAGAAAUAAAAAUCUAUUUUCUAUUCUUUCUUAUUCUUUCGUAUACGAGGAAAACAUCUUUCUUCCUUUGCUUGUUCCUUUUCCUUUCUAAUAAGAAUCUACUGUUUGGCUAAAAUAAUAUCGCGUAAUAAAUACAUAUCCAACGAGUAAUAUUCUAUAUAACGCGGAAACAAUUAGCCAUAUCGUUCGAGGAUUGCUUGCAUGAAAGUUAGAAAAGGUUCUAUGUAACUUUGAAUGUGCACAACCCGAAAUGGAGAAGGGAGACUUGGACGCUCGUACAAGAAAGAUGCGUGGUGAUUUUAAUGCCAGUUGAAUGGAAUAAACGAGGAGAAGGAAACGUCGUUCGAAGUGGGAGGCGCCCGAUCAGCAACCAAUAGAAAGAGCCGCCACCCACGAAGCUAUAAAAAUUAAUUUAUCACAUGGAUCGCCGCCUACGCCAUUGCUCCGUUCGUGGACGCCUAGUUUCGCAGCAUCCCCCUAGAUAGCGCUACCUGUCGGGACUUCCCCGAGGGCACCACGAUACGGAGAUACUAAACAGCUAAUUACCGUAUGAGAUAUCAGGAUAGAGGACUAACUUACCAACCGUAGUAACAACAUCGAACAAGAAUUUCCAUAUCGUUGCACAGAUUACUCGAUGCACAGAUGAGGGCGAAUGUUACUCCACAUUGGUCGAUUUUGGUUUUGUCCUGGAAAGCGAAUGAUCGUUCCUUGAGAGGGACGAACAGCGCCUAUGCUCGACGUGGCGGAAGAAUGCACGAAACCAACAGAAGAUGCGGCAGAAGAAGUUGCAUGCCCGUUUUGGGUACUGCCCGACGAAGUAGCAGCUGCACUGUCGAAACCAAACACUUGACUGUUGACAUUCCCUACAUUACCAUAUAUAGGAUAAUAUUGACUGGCAGCUCCAGAUACAGCACCAGCGAUUCCCGUUAAUCCUGCGGAGAACGACACCGACUGACUUUGUAAAACGCUCCUGGUAACAAAUAUAUACAUUGUUACAGUAAAA